rnacentral:misc_RNA from 1 species
GGAAGUAAAAGCGUAACAAGGUUUCCGUAGGUGAACCUGCGGAAGGGUCAUUAGUGAACGCCCUCACGGGCUUAUAACUAUUCCAAACCUCUGUGAACCGUGCCCUUCGGGGCUAUUUUACAAACAUGGUGUAAUGAACGUCAUAUAUCAUAACAAAACAAAACUUUCAACAACGGAUCUCUUGGCUCUC